GGAGUGGCUGCAGCUGCCUGCAGACACCCACGCUCUGAAUGUAGGACCAGGCUUCAGUGAGUCAUGAAGACAGAUGCAGAAGAGGAUUCAAAGAGGAAGAGAAGUCUACCCUCACAGAUAUUCUCAGGAGGACCCAUACAUGACAGCAGCUUAUCAGGUUGGUAAGAAACUAUCUUCAGAACUGUAGAACUGUAAGUAUCAUCUCUACACAGGAUUUCCUGCAGAAGAAAGAACAGUACUGAAGUCUUGUGUCUUUUCUUUGUGUAUCCAGUCAUGGACAAGAAAGUAGAAAAGGACAAAAGUUGUGUGGGGAGUUAAGGCAUCCAGUACAGAGGCUGAUGAGGUUGGAAACAAAUUCACAGUCCCCAGUUGCACAGGUUCACUGUGCUGGAAAUGAACAUGAGUAGGUAUUUCACACAGGAGCAGCAAAAGGCAGCAUGCUGCGCCAGUCUGUCCCUGUCAGAAGGGGUAUGUUUGAAUUGUGUCUCUCACAAACACA